rnacentral:rRNA from 1 species
UACGGGGGGAACAAGCGUUGUUCGGAUUUACUGGGCGUAAAGGGCUCGUAGGCGGCCAACUAAGUCAGACGUGAAAUCCCUCAGCUUAACUGGGGAACUGCGUCUGAUACUGGAUGGCUUGGAUUCGGGAGAGGGAUGCGGAAUUCCAGGUGUAGCGGUGAAAUGCGUAGAUAUCUGGAGGAACACCGGUGGCGAAGGCGGCAUCCUGGACCAACACUGACGCUGAGUGAGCGAAAGCCAGGGGAGCAAACGGG